AACGAACGCUGGCGGCAUGCCUAACACAUGCAAGUCGAACGAGACCUUCGGGUCUAGUUGCGCACGGGUGCGUAACGCGUGGGAACCUGCCCUUAGGUUCGGAAUAACUCCCCGACAGGGGUGCUAAUACCGGAUAAUGUCUUCGGACCAAAGAUUUAUCGCCUUUGGAUGGGCCGGCGUUGGAUUAGCUAGUUGGUAGGGUAAAAGCCUACCAAGGCUACGAUCCAUAGCUGGUCUGAGAGGAUGAGCAGCCACACUGGGACUGAGACACGGCCCAGACUCCUACGGGAGGCAGCAGUGGGGAAUAUUGGGCAAUGGGCGAAAGCCUGAUCCAGCAAGGCCGCGUGAGUGAUGAAGGCGUUAGGGUUGUAAAGCUCUUUUACCCGGGAUGAUAAUGACAGUACCGGGAGAAUAAGCACCGGCUAACUCCGUG
rnacentral:rRNA from 1 species